UGUGCAUGAACUUCUCGUUAUUUUUACAUGUUUUACAUGAUUAUUAUGGUCAUUUCGACCUUGACAAAUUUCAUUUUCUUUUUUUCCAUUCAUCUUACAGGUCGAAGGAGCUCCCUUCAGUUCAAUGGAUUCAACAAAAUAAUCCAUGUUGCCUACUAGAACUUGCGUGUGUGCUGUGGCAUGUGUGCAGCUGCAUGCCUGGUGCCUGAUGCGGCGUGCGAGCAUGUACACAAAUUGAACUGAAUGAUCUCCAGUAAGUGAACUCAAUGAUCUCCUGUAUUUGAACGACAGGGGAGAUGCAUCAUGUACAAAAAAUGGUAGGAUCUUGAGGUGUUGCUGCUACUUCUUUCUUCUCAUGCCCUACUGUUGCUCCAUUUGAUUCCAUGCUACUUAUAUGAAAAUAAUUGAUGGUCUAGGUGCUUGUUGAAAUGCUUAUGAGAACCAAUUUUUGUUGUUUGGUAUUUGGUAUAAUAGGGUAAAGAAAGGAUACCCUAUGAUGCCUCUUGCCGAAUAGAUUUAUUAGAAGUUCCAUUUUUCCAGCAAGUGUAUGGUCAGAUUCUCUUGAAAAAUGUUAUAAAAGACACAAGUGCUGCAGCGGUGCCGCCGCACCUCUGGUUUCCCGUUGGUAUAUUUUCCAUAUGAUCUGCAGCAGUUCUUCAGUGCGCGAUUCGACAAAAAGACCAUCAGUUCAAUUACUAAAUUACUAAAUAUUUUUUUGGUUCAGUUCAAUUACUAAAUUUAGUUCAGUACAAUUCUUGUUAUAGUUACAGAUCAGUUCAAUAGUUCGAGUUUAAAAGAUUACUUGUUGAGAUUCUUGUGAACAUGUAAUGUUACUGUACAUGAACUUGUUGUUCUUUUUACAUGAACUUGUGCAUGCUAAUUGGUGGUUGUUGUGUGUGAAAAAAGUAAUUUCUUGGUCAGGAUUUUGCAGGGUCUUUGGGUUAGAAGUGGUUAAUUGGUUAGCCCCUGGAGCUUGUCCGCGAGCCAGGCGCUGGGCCAACCACAAGGCAAACGCCACCAGGUAGGGCGCCAGACGGCUGCCGUGCGUGGCGUGAGCCUUUCCGACCCCAUUUCCAGGUUAAGCGCCAAGGAUCUCAUCGUCGGGUUCGCAAAAGCACUAGUGCCUCUGCUUCCAAUUUUCUUCAAAAGUUCUGCUAACCAAUUAGCCACUGAUAAGAUGACUUUACUUCCAACUAGCCACUCAAAAGUUGUGGCCAUUUAAUGACACCUUCUACAUUUGAGACAUGUGAAAUUGUAACCUUCCAAUGUUACCGUUUGGUAGCUCAGGAUGCUUUAUGUUUUGGAGAUCUACAGAGUGACUAUCUGAGAGCUGUGUUGGACUUUCUCAUUACAGCAUGGAACUUCUCUGAAAAUCCCAGUUGAUUUUUAAUGUUUGCUCCUCAUCAGUUCUAAAAAUCUCAGAGCAUCCGUCCAACUAUGUAUCAGGAUAUACUAUGUUGUAAAUUUAUGUAUCCUUGUAUGUGCAAAAAUAUAUUACGGUUGCUGCUUCUAUUUCUUGUGGAGAGGAUGUUGUAAGUUCAACACGACAUCACAGAUAAGUCUGAGAAAUAAUCUCAAACAAAAAGAAAUCCCACGGAAAUUCAAAUGAUAAAAGUUCAUGUUGUAAAAUGAGAGAAGUCCAAAACAUCACAGCAAAAAAAAUUGAGUUAAAAAAAAU
rnacentral:lncRNA from 1 species